AGUGAACGCUGGCGGUAGGCCUAACACAUGCAAGUCGAACGGCAGCACAGUAAGAGCUUGCUCUUACGGGUGGCGAGUGGCGGACGGGUGAGGAAUACAUCGGACUCUACUUUUUCGUGUGGGUUAACGUAGGGAAACUUACGCUAAUACCGCAUACGCCCUACGGGUGAAAGCAGGGGAUCUUCGGACCUUGCGCGAUUGAAUGCGCCGAUGUCGGAUUGGAUAGUUGGCGGGGUAAAGGCCCACCAAGGGGCCGAUCCGUAGCUGGUCUGAGAGGAUGAUCAGCCGCACUGGAAGUGAGACACGGUCCAGGCGCCUACGGGAGGGAGCAGUGGGGAAUAUUGGACAAUGGGCGGAAGCCUGGUCCAGCCAUACCGCGUGGGUGAAGGAGACCUUCGGGUUGUAAAGCCCUUUUGUUGGGAAAGAAAAGCAGCAGGUUAAUACCCCGCUGUUCUGACGGUACCCAAAGAAUAAGCACCGGCUAACUUCGUG
rnacentral:rRNA from 1 species